UACGAAGGGGGCUAGCGUUGCUCGGAAUCACUGGGCGUAAAGGGUGCGUAGGCGGGUUUCUAAGUCAGAGGUGAAAGCCUGGAGCUCAACUCCAGAACUGCCUUUGAUACUGGAAGUCUUGAGUUCGGGAGAGGUGAGUGGAACUGCGAGUGUAGAGGUGAAAUUCGUAGAUAUUGGGAGGAACACCAGUGGCGAAGGCGGCUAACUGGUCCAGAUCUGACGCUGAGGUGCGAAAGCGUGGGGAGCAAACAGG
rnacentral:rRNA from 1 species